AAAGGGAGACCUAAUUCCAGUAGGAGACGAAAAAAAAGUAGUCCCUACCAAGAAUCAAUCCCAAAAGGUCGGAGCGAGGCAAAAUUGACUUUCAAACUAGGUUCUGGGUUCACACAAGACCUGAAUCAGGAACAAGGGCUAUUAGCUCAGGUGGUUAGAGCGCACCCCUGAUAAGGGUGAGGUCCCUGGUUCGAGUCCAGGAUGGCCCACCUGCACAGGUGGAAGAAAGAAAAGAAGCUCCGAAUCAGCACCUUAUCUUACUUAUAUAGUAAGAGAGAAUGCUGGCUCUGAGUACAGAGUCCAGAGGAACCUUGAAAACUGCAUAGAGCUAGGUGAAAAAGCCAAAAAAGAAGACCGCAAG
rnacentral:tRNA from 1 species